rnacentral:sRNA from 1 species
UUCUUGUUGAAUAGAGACACUAUGGUUAUGUAGCAAAACCACUCCGAACUCCAAAGAUAACACAUAUGUCAGGACCAGGACUUGUCCUGAGCACAGCAAAUGUUUUCAUUUGCUGUGGCCCAAAAUUUAAGUGGCUUAUUUUGAAAUAAAAGUUUUUAUAUGUAUAAGUCAUAUAAAGAGUUUCACGAGAAAGAAACAUAAAUA